GUCCCUGUAGCGCAAUGAAUAGCGCGUUGGACUUCUAAUCUAAAGGUCGUAGGUUCGAAUCCCACCUGGGAUG
rnacentral:tRNA from 1 species